GUUUAUGUCCAUGCCACCUUGAACAAGCUUGAUGUCUGAUUUCGGAAGCUAGGCAGGGUUAGGCCUGGUUAGUACUUGUAUGGGAGACCAUGUAGGAAAAGCAGGUGCUAUAGGCA
rnacentral:rRNA from 1 species